AUUGUGACGCUGGCGGUAUGCCUUACACAUGCAAGUCGAACGAGAGUUUUUAACUCAAGUGGCGGACGGGUGAGUAACACCGUAAGAAUCUACCCUUAGGAGGGGGACAACAGUUGGAAACGACUGCUAAUACCCCAUAUGCUUUCGAGUAAAAUAGUUUUCUGCCUAAGGAAGAGCUUGCGGCUGAUUAGCUAGUUGGUAGGGUAAAGGCCUACCAAGGCGGACUGAUCAGUAUCUGGUUUGAGAGGACGAUCAGACACACUUGGAACUGAGACACGGUCCAGACUCCUACGGGAGGCAGCAGUGGGGAAUUUUCCGCAAUGGGCGAAAGCCUGACGGAGCAAUACCCGCGUGAGGGAUUAAGGCCUGUGGGUUGUAAACCUCUUUUUUCAGGGAGGAAGAUCUGACGUGUACCUGAAGAAUAAGCAUCGGCUAACUCCGUGCCAGCAGCCGCGGUAAGACGGAGGAUGCAAGGUGUUAUCCGGAAUCACUUGGGCGUAAAGCGUCUGUAGGUGGUUUAAUAAGUCGACUGUUAAAUCUUGAGGCUCACUUCAAAAUCCAUUCGAAACUAUUAGACUUGAGUAUAGUAGAGGUAAAGGGAAUUCUAGUGGAGCGGUGAAAAUGCGUAGAUUUAGAAAGAACCCAUUGCAAAGCACUUUCUUGCUAUACUGACCUCAAAACGAAGCUAGGGUACCAAUGGGAUUAAAUCCCCAGUAUCCUAGCCGAACAAUGGAUCU
rnacentral:rRNA from 1 species